GGUAAAGCAUUAGUUCCUAUAUAUGCCAGUGUGUCCGAUUCAACUUUUAGGACGAGAUCUAUUAUAGAAGCUUUAAGCUCAGAUAACCUUUUUACCUAAUGGAUCAACAUCUCUGAAGUUUAAGGGAUUACCAGGCAUAAUGGCGAUAUCGGUGCCGAGGGAAGAAGAAUGACGCUUCUAUUCCAUAGUGACAAGUGUUAACCCUAAGAGUGAUGAAUCCUUAUUUGACAUUCCAGGAGUAUGGGAAGAAAAUAAUCCUCCAGGACUUGCUCGUAAUAUCCCACCAAUACAUAUUGAGUUAAAGCUCGGGGUGUAUC